GACGUAGGGCGCGAGCGUUGUCCGGAUUUAUUGGGCGUAAAGAGCUCGUAGGCGGCUUGUCGCGUCGUCCGUGAAAACCCACGGCUUAACUGUGGGCUUGCGGUCGAUACGGGCAGGCUGGAGUUCGGUAGGGGAGACUGGAAUUCCUGGUGUAGCGGUGAAAUGCGCAGAUAUCAGGAGGAACACCGGUGGCGAAGGCGGGACUCUGGGCCGAUACUGACGCUGAGGAGCGAAAGCGUGGGGAGCGAACAGG
rnacentral:rRNA from 1 species